rnacentral:lncRNA from 1 species
UGUAGCUGGAAGAGAAGGAGAGGAAAUAGAGCAGGGGAGGAAGAAUAGGCUGCGGUUGUGGUGGCUGCGGCCAUGGCUGCGACUGUGACUGCGGCAGUUGCAGUUGGGAAAGAAAAGAAAGGAAAGGGGGAAAAAGGGGCUGCGGACGGGAUUACGGUCGCAGCGGCAACGACUGCGUAUGCAGCAGUUAUGUCCGCAUGAGAAGGGAGAAAGGAAGGUAGUGCGGUGGAAGGGGCUGCGAUUGUGGCAGCGGCAGCGGCGGCGGCUGUGGCAGCAGCGUUUGGGAAAGAAAAUGAAGGAAUGAGAGUAAGAGAGAGCAGGUGACUGUGCCUCGAUGUUCGACACGUGGUGUAGUUGCGAAGAAAGAAAGAAAAUGAGUGCACAAAACGAAACAGGGAGGGGAUGGAGGAAAAGUAGAAAAAGGAUUUGAGCGUACACCUUCUUCGAAUCUUUGGAUCAAAACCUUCAAAAGGUAAGUUUCCCGAUCGUUUCCCCUGUAAUUGUUAUAAUCUUUCCUAUUGCAAGUAUCAUGAUCUUUCCUCACUACAAUUUUAUCUCUACAUUUGCUUUGAAUAUGAGGAACUUUGAAUUGUUCUAGCCUUGCAUUUGAUAUAUCUCCUGUUUAGACGUAACGAUUCGAAUCUGAGCAACUUCCAAGAUUCUGACCUUUCUACCUUGUUAUGGUUAUAACUUCAUGUAUUGACAUCUGAUUUGGACAAAACUUAUUUGAUUAGAAUAUAGAUUCAUAAACCUUUGUUUUGAUAGCUUAUUUUAAGAAUUCGGAGUAAGUUUUCCUGCCCAAACUUCUGUUUCAAAUGAGCCUACAGAUUCUGCAAAACAGGGAUCGUAAUUUCUGACCUUUUGAUACUGAACUGCUUAUAAAUCCCUGUUGCAAAUGUUGAUUUAUUCAAAGCUUAUUUCAUUGGAAACUAGACUUGUAGAUCUUUCUUUUGAUAUAUGGAUUGAAAGAUUUGGAAUCCAAACACCUGCCUAGUUAUCUGUUGAAUAUGACAUUAUGAAUUUUGCCAAACAGAGAUUUUGUUCUACGACCCUUGUUUACCAAAUUAUUUGUAACUCUCUCUAUUGGACAGUUCAAUUCAUAUGAAGCAUGUCUUAUCUGAAAGUAUAAUCCAAUGAUAUAUUUAUGAGUAAAUUGGAGCACGAUUGAUAGUUUGAAUCAUUUGUUCAAUGUGCCUCUUGUAUUCUGCCAGAAAUCGAGCUUUGGUCGAUUUAUCAUAUUCUGGUUUCAUUCCUUUGGAAAUUGAUAUCCUUUAGCUUUCUUAUUCAAUUGAGCUUUAUAUUACUGCUUUGAAUUCUUGUAUGCUCUUGUCCUUAAAAUUAUUGCAUUCUUGAAAACUGUUGUGUAACGUUUAUGCUAUAUCGUAUUGACUCAUAUAGGCACAUGUAUAUCCCAUUGUUCCGCAUUUGCUUUCGAUAUGUGUCUAUUACAGUUUCAUUCUUUUGGAUAUUUAAAUUCAUCUAACCUUCUUAUUUGAAUUGAGCUAUAUAUGAUUGCUUGGAAUCCGUGUGUACUCUUGCUUUCAUUUCCUUUCAAAUCUGAUAACAUUUGUGAAAAAUUAUUGCUUGCUUCGUAUUGACUCGUAAAGGCACAUGUACGUUUUGUUGUUCCGCGUGUGCUUCUGAUAUGUGAUAUUUAUUGUUCAUACUACCCUUUGUACUUUGGUGUUUGUGGGAUUUGUGAACCUUUGCCAGAAAUGGUAAAGGGAGUUAUGCAUAGAGCCUGCGAUGCUUUGCCGGCCCCCUCUGACUUCACCUAGACGUGGGUGGAUGGAGCUCUCAGACGUGGGAGACCUCCCAGACGUGGGAGACUUCUGUUUGGUGGUCAUUCAGAAAUCGAUGAAUCACAUUCUGUCUGUGGUCCCACUACACCUUCUGUAUGUUUGAUAUGAUAUCCAGAGCUUUGGUUAUGUGUUUCUGUACAUGCUUUGGAUAAGAAUGAUAUGAAUGCAACGUCAAAUACGACGUUUGAGCUUCUGUUUGGUAUUUGUUAUUGAUAUGUUCCGAAAUGUUUCAUUUGUUAUUGAUAUGCUCCGAAAUAUUCCAUUUGUUAUUAUUACGCUUCGAAAUGUUCCAUGUCAUUGAUAUGCUCCGGAACAUUUCAUACGUCAUUGAUAUGCUCCGAAAUAUUCCAUCUGUUAUUGUUACGCUUCAAAAUGUUCCAUGUCAUUGAUAUGUUCCGGAACAUUUCAUACGCCAUUGAUAUGCUCCGAAAUGCUUCAUCUGCUAUUGUCUCAAAUUAUUGUUCACAAUACCCUUUUGUACUCUGGUGUUUGUGGGAUUAUUUGAACCUUUGCUAGAAAUGGUAAAGGGUAUGUGCUUAGAGCCUGCGAUGCUCUAGAUUAUGUUUGGUGGUCAUUCAGAAAUGGAUGGACCAUAUUAUGUUUGGAAUCCCACUUCACCUUCUAUCUGUUUCAUUUGUUAUUGUUACGCUUCGAAAUGUUCAAUAUGUCAUUGAUAUGCUCCGGAACAUUUCAUACGUUAUUGAUAUGCUUCAAUUACUCUGUUCUCCAUUUGCUAUGAACUGAUAUGUUUUGAAAUGUCCUAUUUGCCAUUGAUAUGCUCCGGAACAUCUCGUACGCUAUUGAUAUACUCCAAUUACUCUAUGCUCCAUUUGUUAUGAAUCAAAUAUGUUUUGAAUGACAUGAUACAUAUGAUUUUGUAUCUAAUGAGAUGGUAUCCUUGAGAAUUCUUGUAUUCUGCCUUGCAUUAUGAUACCUUACUUAUUUGAAAUCGUUCCUUUUGUUCUGAAUAUACUUUGUCACUUGCUGAGUUGUUUUUAGCUCACUCCGUUGUUAUAUAAAUCUUUCAGGUCAGCUUGUCACUCUUUGAGAUGUUUGAUUUGGGCUAAGGCAGUGGAUAGCUAUUCAGAAUUAUGGCCAAGUCUUGUUGGUUAUUAUGUUAUUGUUGUAUAAGCAUAUUUUGUAUGUAAUGAAAUGUUGUUGAUGAAUCGAAAUGGAUAUACUGUGUAAAAGUGUUAGAAGAUCUUUCUUAUUUGGAAUUUCGGAAUGUUAAGUCUAAUUUACGAUGAUAUGAACUUGUGGUAAAUGGUUG